UACGGAGGGAGCUAGCGUUGUUCGGAAUUACUGGGCGUAAAGCGCGCGUAGGCGGCCUUGCAAGUUAGAGGUGAAAGCCCGGAGCUCAACUCCGGAACUGCCUUUAAAACUGCAUAGCUUGAAUCCGGGAGAGGUGAGUGGAAUUCCGAGUGUAGAGGUGAAAUUCGUAGAUAUUCGGAAGAACACCAGUGGCGAAGGCGGGCUCACUGGACCGGUAUUGACGCUGAGGUGCGAAAAGCGUGGGGAGCAAACAGG
rnacentral:rRNA from 1 species